GAUUCAAGUAACUUGGAGGUGAUUCUUCAGGGCCAGGAAUGAUUUUGUUCACUGUUUGUUUGUCAUAGAAUGAAAUACGCUCAGAUAAAAUGCAGCGGUCUGGUCAGCUACUCCGGUUGACAUGCAAUGCCUGAAGUCAGCACAAGGCCACCUAGAGGCCCAUGUGAAAGACAUGUGCCAUGUAACAUGGCACUGACAGAAGUUAACCUUGUGGAUGGAGCACAUGGAAGCUGAAGGGAUGAGAAGAAACCAAAAAAGCUUGUUGCAACAAGGAUGCUGAUGGAAAUAAAAAAGCAGUGAGGAAGAGACA
rnacentral:lncRNA from 1 species